UACGUAGGGGGCAAGCGUUGUCCGGAUUUAUUGGGCGUAAAGAGCGUGUAGGCGGCCAUGUAGGUCCGUUGUGAAAACUCGAGGCUCAACCUCGAGCUGUCGGCGGAAACCAUCUGGCUAGAGUCCGGAAGAGGAGAAUGGAAUUCCCGGUGUAGCGGUGAAAUGCGCAGAUAUCGGGAAGAACACCCGUGGCGAAGGCGGUUCUCUGGGACGGUACUGACGCUGAGACGCGAAAGCGUGGGGAGCGAACAGG
rnacentral:rRNA from 1 species